rnacentral:rRNA from 1 species
UACGUAGGGUGCAAGCGUUAAUCGGAAUUACUGGGCGUAAAGCGUGCGGAGGCGGCUAUGCAAGACAGAUGUGAAAUCCCCGGGCUCAACCUGGGAACUGCAUUUGAGACUGCAUGACUAGAGUACGGUAGAGGAGGAUGGAAUUCCGCGUGUAGCAGUGAAAUGCGUAGAUAUGCGGGGGAACACCGAUGGCGAAGGCAAUCCCCUGGACCUGUACUGACGCUCAUGCACGAAAGCGUGGGGAGCAAACAGG